rnacentral:rRNA from 1 species
AGUGAACGCUGGCGGUAGGCCUAACACAUGCAAGUCGAACGGCAGCACAGUAAGAGCUUGCUCUUACGGGUGGCGAGUGGCGGACGGGUGAGGAAUACAUCGGAAUCUACUUUUUCGUGGGGGAUAACGUAGGGAAACUUACGCUAAUACCGCAUACGACCUACGGGUGAAAGCAGGGGAUCUUCGGACCUUGCGCGAUUGAAUGAGCCGAUGUCGGAUUAGCUAGUUGGCGGGGUAAAGGCCCACCAAGGCGACGAUCCGUAGCUGGUCUGAGAGGAUGAUCGGCCACACUGGAACUGAGACACGGUCCAGACUACUACGGGAGGCAGCAGUGGGGAAUAUUGGGCAAUGGGCGCAAGCCUGAUCCAGCCAUACCGCGUGGGUGAAGAAGGCCUUCGGGUUGGAAAGCCCUUUUGUUGGGAAAGAAAAGCAGCAGGUUAAUACCCCGCUGUUCUGACGGUACCCAAAGAAUAAGCACCGGCUAACUUCGUG